AUUACGAAUUUCAUCUUUUCUUAAAAAAUCGUGUUAUCCAAUUAAACAUUUCCUCAUUUACUGCCACGGAUAAGCAGUCUUGAACGGGACCCUCGUGACGGCCAUUCUCUUUAAAAUUGACACCUUUAGUGCUGUCUCUGGAUAUAAGGGAAGGAAUUGACUAUUAUGACAUGUGUGCAUAAAACUACACGCAAUCAGCAGUAGGUGCAGUCCUCGCACCCUAUAUAAGAACUUACCACCAAGGUCGUCGUCAAUAAACUGUUUUUCCGCAUCGAGGUACGUGCAUCCAAAGAAUUACACCAAAAGAAUUACAAUUCGAUCCUCACAAGGAGUAGAUAUGUAUUUCGUGGUUAAAAAAAGCAACAAUAUAUGCUCUUUUGUCAGUUCUUAUGAGGAAAGCGAAGGAGGCGGUUUAAAAGCCUUUGUGAAACAACAAACAACACCAGCAGAAAUACAAUGAGGCGCAUACAACAAGGAAUAGGUUUUGCUACGCUGUUUCUGGCACUUUCUGGAACUUUUGAAAUUCUACCAUCCUUGCCUACAGCCCCGAAAGAGUGCCAAAGAAACCAUGCUGACUACUUGGAAGAAACAACGAAAGAAAGGAUGACAUGUAUAACUAAAAACUGUGCUAAGCUGUAAAAAUCCGGCCUAAGGAUCAGCGGUGUCUACAAAAUCGACUCAGACGGUUUAGGUGCCUUUAAGGUGUAUUGUGACCAAACAACAGCCGGUGGGGGGUGGAUAGUGUUUCAGAAGAGAUUGGAUGGCUCUGGUGAUUUUAACCGCACUUGGGAUGACUACAAACAUGGCUUUGGUAACUCCAUUGGUGAAUUUUGGCUCGGACUGGACAAGAUAAACCGCCUGACACGAAACAAGACAAAAAACUUGCUGCGAGUUGAUCUGGCAAUAGCAACUAGCAAAACUGUUCACGCUGAGUAUGGCUGGUUCGGGAUUGGGAACGAGACAGCUAUGUACCGGCUGUACAUUGGCAAUGUUACAACUGGGAUAGAGAUCCAGCUGAUUAUGCUGGCGCUCAAAAAAGAAGCGGAGGCUGGUGAUAUAGCAACAGUAGU